ensembl:lncRNA
AAGAAUAGCCGUCAGAAAAGGCUCCUUUAGGCUCUGACCCACCAACUCUGUCGUCAUAUGGAAUCAUCCCUCGCCUUACACCACACAGGGUGGAUGAGGGACAGUCCAGAGCGUAUUUAAAAUGAAUUCAGCACACAAUGACGACCCAGCGAAAUGUAGUCGUUAUAAGCAUGCAUACAUUUUCAAGAGACAGCGUGGGAUUGGCAUAGUGUCUGUGCACUUGUUUGGGUCCAUCCUGAAGCCACCUUCCAGCUGCACUGGCAAUAACCCACCAAAGCAGAGGGGGAAGUUUGUUAUUUGCGCUCGUUCAUUUUCACCGACUUAAGCAAAAAACUGCCAGUCACGUCAAAUUAAAUUAUACGGUUUUGUAUUACCAUUAUAUUUAUAUUACACUAUAUUACCGUAGCUGAAUUAGACUAUUUUCCAUGGGGUCUAGGCUACGACUACUGAAUUUAACUCACUUUACGCAAGAGUUCCCUUUAAUUAGGCUUGAGCUGAGAGAAGAAUUGCUCUGACUAGCACUGCAGACCACUACAGCAGCAGAAUACCACAGUCUUAAAUUACUACAGAAGAGAUAUCCAUUGUCUGGACAACUGAGACUGGGCUGACGAUUCCAGUAAUUGUACUUAUUGAACAGCUUGGCCCUGGGGACGUAGCAGUCCCUGGAUGGGUUCCCACUUACCAUUAUUGGAUUAACCUGGCUGGACUGCCUCCUUCCACAACUCUGCAGCCCGUCAGUCAGUCGCUCACCAGCUCUCAGGUUCCUCACAGGAGAACUUCUGACACUCCCCACUGCUGCUCCUGGAAAUGAAAGUUGUUGGUACUGUCAGUUCAGUGCCUCAUUAUGCUUAUUUCUUAACCUUGCCACCAGCUGUUGGUGCUUAAAGUGGCAAAGAGGCAUCGAAAGAAGCCUCACCCUGAUCAGAAACAUGUGGUGAAUCCAAUAACAACAAAUAAUUAACUCAACCUGUGAUAAAAAUGCAUUGUUUUUCAUUCGUUAUCACCACAAGCAGCAGCCUUGAUCUCUUCAUUGAGACAAAAGCUUUCUUGAUAAUCAUGUAGUCGUUGGCAUGAUCAGAUGCUAAAGUUACCCAAAGCAUUGGUCCUUGAGCAAAACCAAACUUCCAUGACUGCAAGGUGAACAUAUGCUACUACAGCACUCUUGUGGGUCUCUUCUCGUUCCAUCUUAACUCCUGGGAUGCACAGAAAUGACAAUGGGCACUGAGAGAGCAGCACCACAACCUGAGCCUUUCAGGUGUUGCUGCAGCUGCUAAAGAAUGGUUUCACCAUGUUACUGUGGAAGUCAAAUGUAAUCACACACACACAUGCACUUAAAAAAAAAAAAAGAAACAAAACAAAACAAACAAAAAAAAAAAACCGAACAAACAAAAAAAAAGCCCCCAAAACUCCAAUCUU